CCCCUAGAUGUUCUGGGCCGCACGCGCGCUACACUGAACAGUUCAACAAGUCUUAACCUUGGCCGAUAGGUCUGGGUAAUCUUUGAACGCUGUUCGUGAUUGGGAUAGACCUUUGCAAUUAUGGGUCUUCAACGAGGAAUUCCUAGUAAACGCAAGUCAUCAGCUUGCAUUGAUUACGUCCCUGCCCUUUGUACACACCGCCCGUCGCUACUACCGAUUGAAUGAUUUAGUGAGGACUUCGGACUGGGACCGAUGCGGCUUUCGGGCUGCGUCGGUAUUCUGGAAAGAUGUUCAAACUGUAUCAUUUAGAGGAAGUAAAAGUCGUAACA
rnacentral:rRNA from 1 species